GGCGGCCGAACCAGUAGUUCAGUCGGCGGUGGGAGAAAGGGGUGGGCGCCCGGGCCCGGCGAGGGGGCGGGGCGGGGAGAGGAAAAGGACUUCGACCAGAUUCUUAAAGGCACAGGCGCCUGCCCGUCCCCGCCGCCGAAGUUGGGGGAUAAAACCCGACGGUGUUCCAGAGCUUUCCGAAGGAGGCAACUUUAUAGAUUGCAAAUGCCUCUUCUGCACCGGGUGUGCGGAGCCACGCUUUUCGUUGUGAAAGUGUUAGGGAAACCCUUUCAUUUUGAUCUGGACUUGUUUCAAAGUUGGGGAUUUUCUGCAGCCACGAAACCCCAUUAGUACUUGGAAUAUGUACUUUUCAGGGUACUUCAGCUCUCCCUCUCGUGCCAUUGCUCACUAAGUUUUUUAUGUUGCUGUGUAUACAAUUUCUUCAUCUGUAACGCGGCAGGUAAAAAGUCCUAAUGGGAUCAUUUGAGGUGUGAAAGGAGACAAACUUCUAUGACAAGGUCUCACCCUAUGAGAGAGAGAGAGAGACUCUCACAUAGAUGGGAUCUAGACCCUGCCGGGGAGAAAUAUACAACAUGAACAAAGUGAAAUGGAAAUGGAAAUCUACAGCUCCAGAACCCUGAGUCUCCCUGGCUAUCUGAAAGUAGAACAUUCCUAUGAAAACUUUCAAAUAAUGAAGUUGGACAAAGUGGAUUCACUGUGGAAGUGUCUGAUAACGUGCCUCAGUUUCCUCACUGUAACUGGGAAAUGUCUGCAGAGAUGAAGAUUCAAACAAGAGCACAGUUUUAUUUGGCCACUUCUAUUUUAUUUUAUUAAAAGAAUUUUUUUGAGUAGGUUCCAUGCCCCAUGUGGGGCUUGAACUCAUGACCCUGAGAUCAAAGGUCGCAUGCUCUGACUGAGCCAGCCAGGUGCCCCAAUUUGGUCACUUCUGUGCCCCUUGCACAGAGCUGAAUACCAUCCACUCAUGAUUCUAGGCAGACAGCGCGGGGUAAGGACAACCAAUCAUUUACUUCCAAUUGUGUCAUUAGCACUUCCAAAACACUGGUGACCAUCCUCAAGCCUUUCAUAGCUCAGCCUAGACUUGUGGCUUUUUAAGAAUCAGUUUGCUUUCUUUCUUUUUCUACCCCAUUGUUUGUUGAUAGAUAAGCUUGAAAACACCCCCUUCCUCGGAGCUUGAUUGGCAAGUGUCAAAUCCGCAAGCUUUGGCAGCUAUGUGCUAUGUGGCUGUGUGGCAGCUACGUUAAGGAGGAGUGAAGGAGGACACGGGUUGGUCUGUGGCCAGAGGGAAAAGAGAAACCCAUAUAACCAGGAUGAACAGACGAGUAGAAGGUGUGCGUAGUAGUUCCCUGGGGCUGCCCUAACAAAUCACCACAAACCUGGUAGCUUAAAACAACAGAAAUUUAUUUUCUCACAGUUGUGGAGGUUAGAAGCCUGAAAUCAAGACGUUAGGGCCAUGCUUCCUCUGAAGGCUCUAGGGGCGGGUCCUUCCUUGCAUUGUUUUCUGGCUUCGGGUGGCUCUUGGCACUCAUUGGGUUUUCUUGCCUCGUGGACUUAGCACUUCGAUACUUCUACCUCUGUCGUCACAUGGCAUUCUCACCUGUGUGUUUUCACACCACUUCUCUCUAUGUGCCUUCUGCAUAUCUUCUUAUACAGGCACCAGUCACCGCGUUGAAACUCCACCCUAACCCAGCAUGACCUCAUCUUAAUUUAACCAAUCACAUCUGCAAAGACCCUAUUUACAGAUAAAGUCACUGAGCUUCCACGCAGACACAAAGUCUGGGGGACAUUAUUCAACACAGUGUAGAGGGGGUGGUCUGAUGGCAUCUGGAAUGUGGAUUUGAAUGUGUUCUUUAGACCAAAUCACACUCUGGGGAGCCUGGGGUGCUCAGUCAGUUAAGCGUCCGAUCUCAGCUCAGGUCAUGAUCUCACGGUUUCGUGAGUUCGAGCCCUGCGUUGGGCUCUGUGCUGACAGCUCAGAGCCUGGAGCCUGCUUCGGAUUCUGUGUCUCCCUCUCUCUCUGCCCCUCCUCCAUUCACACUCUGUUUCUCUCUGUCUCUCAAAAAUGAAUAAAUGUUAAAAAAAGAAAAAAAAGACCACAUCACACUCCAAGCUUUGAGUGCUGUGAGACAGGCCCAUAUCCUUAUCAUUAGUUCUCAUUUGUGUGUAAGCCAGGUUCAAGUUGUGUGACUACUAAUGCAACCAAAAGAAUUUUUAAUAUAUACAAAAUAAAAAGCACCCUAUUAUUACGAUUCUAUUAGCUGCCACCGUAGGUCGUAGGUCAAGGAAUAUGAUCUUUUUCUAUAUACCCCAGUAUGGGUGGGUGCCAUAUUUAUCAACCAUGAAGGUAUUCUUCCCAGGGUAGCUUGAGGAAAGCAAACUGUUUUUAUACAUUGUAGAAAAUGAGGCCCGGAGAGACUUGACCAAGCAUACUUAGUAUAUCAGGAGGGAGCCUGCACGGCCAACCUCAACCCAACUUCAUAGGAAGGUCAUAGGCAGGACAAGCCCAGGAGGUUGCUGGGCUCCAGUUCUCUGCUUCUCUGUGAGUCUUUGGGCUCUAUGCCUCUCCAUAUGUCUGACCCACCCCGAGGCUAGAGACCAGGUAGCUGGCACAGGUCCAGACAUCAUAUUCAGUCACAAGGUCCUGAAGCAAGAAGAGGUUAUAUCUGGUUUAGGUCUCUUCUUAAGGGCAAGGAAAACAUUCCCAGGAGUCAGCCAGUAGACCUCCCUUUGUGUCCUGUUGGCCAGAAAGAUGACAGGUGCCCAUAUCUAAAUCCAUCACCAGCAAAGAUUUGGGAAUCCAUGAUUGACCGAGACUUAUCUGGACUCGCCCCUCAGCCUGGGCUUAUAUGGAGCCCUCUAGAAGCACAAGGCUGAGUGAAGGAGGGCAGAUGCCUGUUCUGAAUUAAGAGGAAAGGAGGGUGGGCGAGAAAUGCGUGCUGAGUGGGCAACCAGAAGCGUCAGCUACACUUGGCAAGCUUAUGUUUCCAAAAUCCCAGAUGACUCCAGGGCUCUUUCCACCAGACUUUUUACAUCACUCCUAAACAGCCAUCCAUGUGUGGUCGGCAGAGUCUAGCACAAAGUGCCAGAAUGUAGCAUCCCACCAAUGUUCUGAUCUGCCUGCUGUGCCUCUGACGUCAGUAGCACAAAGGGCAAAAAUUGGUUCAGCUUUCCUGAUGGCUCCACAGCCCUGGAAGUGGCUCUUUAGAAGGUGGUUUUAAGGGACCCAUAAAAGAACAGACAUACUUCACUGCUGUGAGCCCACAGACUGGGCUCCAAGGUGACGCCAGCUAGCUUUCUUGGCUUAGGGCCCUUCCGAUGCCCUCCGUGUGGGUCCCACAGCAAAGAAUCCUGUUCACUAAAUUUUCAGCUGGGAAAAGGGUGUGAGAGGGUGGUUCUGAGUAGGGCGGUUGGUUUAACCCUGUAAAAUCAUGUGUUAAACAAUUGCUACAUGCAAAGAUGCACCAAAUCUGUCUGUUCUUUGCGGCCUCCAUCCAAGGGCUGCAACCUCUCAGUGAGCACCAACGUAGCACCCUAAGCCUUGUUCGGUGAACUUGUGGAAAGCCAUGGAGUCCUGGGGCAGCAGGAAGUGGUUCUCCUUUAAACCCAGUGCUUACAGGGGAGUCUGCUCAGGUUUUCUGUGAUCUGUAGGGCUGGGG